GACGAACGCUGGCGGCGUGCUUAACACAUGCAAGUCGAACGGAAAGGCCCUGCUUUUGUGGUGUGCUCGAGUGGCGAACGGGUGAGUAACACGUGAGUAACCUGCCCUUGACUUUGGGAUAACUUCAGGAAACUGGGGCUAAUACCGGAUAGGAGCUCCUGCUGCAUGGUGGGGGUUGGAAAGUUUCGGCGGUUGGGGAUGGACUCGCGGCUUAUCAGCUUGUUGGUGGGGUAGUGGCUUACCAAGGCUUUGACGGGUAGCCGGCCUGAGAGGGUGACCGGCCACAUUGGGACUGAGAUACGGCCCAGACUCCUACGGGAGGCAGCAGUGGGGAAUAUUGCACAAUGGGCGGAAGCCUGAUGCAGCAACGCCGCGUGCGGGAUGACGGCCUUCGGGUUGUAAACCGCUUGCGCCUGUGACGAAGCGUGAGUGACGGUAAUGGGUAAAGAAGCACCGGCUAACUACGUG
rnacentral:rRNA from 1 species